rnacentral:lncRNA from 1 species
AAAUAUGGUGGAGGAGGAUGUAAGAAUGAUUAUUUAUAGGAUAAAAUAUGAUGUAAGUUACAAUUUAAAAUAAUUAAAUUAGAAGAGAUGUAUGUAUGUCACUGUAUGUAUUACAUUUAAAAAUAUUAAAAACAAUGAAGAAAUACAUAAAAAUAAAAAAAAUAAUUAAAAUUAAAAACAAAAGUUUAAACCAAAUAUUUAAUCAAACUUUUACAGUGACAUCUUAAGUAUCUGAAGAAACAUUAACAAGUGAGAAGAAUAUAAUAAGCC